rnacentral:rRNA from 1 species
GCAAAGUCGAAACGAUGAAGCCUAGCUUGCUGGGGUGGAUUAGUGGCGAAACGGGGUGAGUAAACACGUGAGUAAACCCUGCCCCUUGACUCUGGGAUAAGCCUGGGAAACUGGGUCUAAUACCGGAUACGACCAUUGCCCGCAUGGGUUGGUGGUGGAAAGCUUUUGUGGUUUUGGAUGGACUCGCGGCCUAUCAGCUUGUUGGUGAGGUAAUGGCUCACCAAGGCGACGACGGGUAGCCGGCCUGAGAGGGUGACCGGCCACACUGGGACUGAGACACGGCCCAGACUCCUACGGGAGGCAGCAGUGGGGAAUAUUGCACAAUGGGCGAAAGCCUGAUGCAGCGACGCCGCGUGAGGGAUGACGGCCUUCGGGUUGUAAACCUCUUUCAGUAGGGAAGAAGCGAAAGUGACGGUACCUGCAGAAGAAGCGCCGGCUAACUACGUGCCAG